GAAGCGCCUGAGUCGGUCCCGACCACUCGUCCGUCGGGCGUCCAUCGCCUCUGGUUCUCGCUCAGGCCACUCUAGCGAGGCCACGAGGCGCUCGGGAUCCAGUGAAAAGUGAGCCUCCUCCCCGCUCAUCACCUCAAGAUUGCAAUCAUGCUUUUUUUCCUGUGGGCGAUUCUCCAUACAACGGAGGGGGCCGCUAUCGAGGAAUGCUGCCGCAUCAGGCUCCAUCGAAAAACAAUGUUCGAUGUGAAGAGCGUGCACGAAAGGCAUACGGAGGAGCUUCUGGCUCUCCUGUCGGACAUUGCGAGGGCAAUGUCCGACAUAAACGACAUCGUGAUGGAAAUCGGAACGACCAAGAUCGCCCACGCUUGUGGGGCGGCACAAGCGGAGGUCCUCAAUCAGAACGCGGUGGUGGUCGCGGAGCUGGAAAACCGGGACAAAAACUCGCGAAAAAUAGCGGAGUCCACCGAGAGACCGCGCACGAUCGAGAAAAAGAUUUUGGAGUUCAUCCUGAGUGUCGGCCAACUUUUCGUCGAGCGCUUCUAUCGAUAGGUUCGUGAACAAUUAACCCGUAGUAAUAAAAACGUAAGUUUGUCUGUCUGUGUUUCCGGGGUACCCCAUAGACUCGGAAACGGCUGAACCGAUCGUCGAGGGAAUUCGGGAGCGUGUUCUGUGAAUUCCACCGGUGGUUAUGGGGGUCGGUUUCCCGAUGCGAUGAGUCCUUCUACCUCAAAAAAUGAUUUAAAAGGUCCACCCACGAAAAUUCGAAAACCCAUGAGAAAGUUGAAAAAUCGGAAAUUCGCGAAUUUCUCUAACGCCUGGAACGAUCGCCGUAGAAAUUUAGAGCUGGGUUCCCAGGAGCUGUGGGAAGGUCAUCGGCGAGUCGGUUUCCAUAUUCGAAGGAUUCUUCUGCCUCAAAAAAAACUUUUAGAUGGUCCAAUCCUAGGGCACCGUCAUCCCCGAGUGAUUAGUCGAGUUUCG